GUGCUCGCUUCGGCAGCACAUACACUAAAAUUGGAAUGAUACAGAGAAGAUUAGCAUGGCCUCUGCGCAAGGAUGACAUGCAAAUUCGUGAAGCGUUCCAUAUUUUG
rnacentral:snRNA from 1 species